rnacentral:rRNA from 1 species
UACGUAGGGUGCGAGCGUUGUCCGGAAUUAUUGGGCGUAAAGAGCUCGUAAGCGGCCUGUUGCGUCCGCUGUGAAAGCCCGGGGCUUAACCCCGGGUCGGCAGUGGAUACGGGCAGGCUAGAGGUAGGUAGGGGAGAGUGGAAUUCCUGGUGUAGCGGUGAAAUGCGCAGAUAUCAGGAAGAACACCCGUGGCGAAAGCGGCUCUCUGGAACGGUACUGACGCUGAGACGCGAAAGCGUGGGGAGCGAACAGG